rnacentral:misc_RNA from 1 species
AAGUCGUAACAAGGUUUCCGUAGGUGAACCUGCGGAAGGAUCAUUAACAAUUCGUUACACUGGGUAUUGCACCCUGCUGUAUACUAUAACCGUGCCUCAUACUUCAUUGUAUAAGGCCGUUUUCAAACAAGAACCUGGGGUACUUUGACUAGUGGAGUGUCAAAACUCUGCUAUUCGGAGCCCUGUAAUAAUCCCUUUUUUACCAUUCUACCCUUUAAACUAUAAGACUGAUAUGACAUGAUUUAAUGUCAAUAUUAAAUCUAAAAACAACUCUUAACAAUGGAUAUCUAGGUUCUG